CAGGCACUCAUGCACACAUGUGUGUGUACACACGCACACACUUGCACAUGUUACACUGGUGGCAUCCAAGCACACUGUGCACAUGCCACGCCACUUCUCAUCUCCUGCCUGCCUUUCUGGUUUCCCUGGGUUCCUGAUGGCCUUGUGUGCUUGGGUCCUAGACAUAGACCCUUCCACUUCCACCCUUCCUUCUUCCACUCUGUCUCAUGUUUCUUCGUAUCAGUGGUUUGUUGUCUCAUCUUCAUGAGGAAGUCUGUCCAGAACCUUCUAUGGGGCAUGGUCAGUGGGUUGCCCACCUUGUUCAGCCGCAGUCCUGGUUCCCUUUCCUGCCUCUGGUUUAGGCAUUCCCAGCUAACCUCCUUCCUUAGAUGACCCCUGGUUUUUAUGGAGUGCAUCGUGAAGUCCUCAAGUCUCCAUGGGACUGUGGGGCCUUUGUUAUCUGGGCUUCUUCCUCGGGGGGUGGGGAACAGUGCCGUUGUGUCUGGGCACUGCAGCCAGACUGCCUGGCUCUGAAGCCUGUCUCCUCCAGUCACCAGCUGUGUGACCCUGGGCAAGUUAGCCCAUGUCUCUGGGCCUUCGUUUCCACACUCUGCAAGGCAAAGGUGACCUUGCCAUCUCACAGGGCUUGAGCCUGUGAAGGUGGUGGGCUCAGAUGAGGGCUGCUGCUGUGUGUGGGAGUGCUGUCCGUUAACAGUCAGCUUUCUAGGGUUUCUUUUCAGAAGAGUUUCUCUCUCCUUCAAGUUGGGUCCCCGUGGGUCCUCGCUGUACCCACCUAGGUCCCCCUAUGAGGCCCUGCUGUGGAGGCCUCCUCGAGGGCUGAGGUCUGCCUCACAUGACCUGAUCUAACAUGGAGCCCUGGGCUCCCUAAGCCCCUCUGGGCCAGCAGUCCUCCACAACCUCUCUCCCCUGAGCCAGUCUCUGAGCCCUAUUCCCCGCCCACAGGGCACAAGGCCUCAGGCAGGUCCCCAGGGUUCCCUGGGGCUUGCAGGGUCCCUCUGCCAACUGUAUCUCCUGCAUAGCUGGAUUUCUUUAUACCCAGCGACCAGAUCAGUAUGAGGAUGCAGCUUGCCCCAGACCCAGGUGUGUGGCCGAGCCUGCCUAGAGACUGACGUGAGCACAGGUAACUCUCACUGAGGUGCUGUGCUUUGAAAACU
rnacentral:lncRNA from 1 species